AGCUCUGCAAGUUUGCUCCCAUAUUGUUGCAGUUAAAACGCCCGUAGUCUGAAUUUUCCCGCAAGGGAAUUAUUCCUUUUUGGAGUUCACUGUGAACAAAACAGGACGCUUAGAGUAGGGUUUACUUGAAUGAUUUAGCGCAGUAUGAAAUUUUUACCUUUUGGUAAGAUCAAUGAGAGCCAUCGGGGAUAAAUCUAUUACAUGGCGAGCGGUGGAAUGCUCUGACCCAUGUGAGAGAAACAAAAGCGAAGGCAUUUAUCUAGAGGGUUUCUG
rnacentral:rRNA from 1 species